GAUGUAGCAAUACAUUCAGUGGCGAACGGGUGAGUAACGCGUGGAUGAUCUACCUAUGAGAUGGGGAUAACUAUUAGAAAUAGUAGCUAAUACCGAAUAAGGUCAGUUAAUUUGUUAAUUGAUGAAAGGAAGCCUUUAAAGCUUCGCUUGUAGAUGAGUCUGCGUCUUAUUAGCUAGUUGGUAGGGUAAAUGCCUACCAAGGCAAUGAUAAGUAACCGGCCUGAGAGGGUGAACGGUCACACUGGAACUGAGAUACGGUCCAGACUCCUACGGGAGGCAGCAGCUAAGAAUCUUCCGCAAUGGGCGAAAGCCUGACGGAGCGACACUGCGUGAAUGAAGAAGGUCGAAAGAUUGUAAAAUUCUUUUAUAAAUGAGGAAUAAGCUUUGUAGG
rnacentral:rRNA from 22 species